rnacentral:pre_miRNA from 14 species
UGACAUCAUUUCCUGAAAUGAAGACAAAUGAAUAAUAUUGAAAGACCCCCGAAGGGAGCCCCCCACUCAAGUCUCGGGAAAGGCGCGCACCCAGUAGGACACAGACACCA